rnacentral:rRNA from 1 species
AUAUAGAGGGUGCGAGCGUUAAUCGGAAUUACUGGGCGUAAAGCGCGCGUAGGCGGUCUAUUAAGUCAGAUGUGAAAUCCCAGGGCUCAACCUUGGAACUGCAUCUGAUACUGGUAGACUAGAGUUUUGGAGAGGGAAGUAGAAUUUCAGGUGUAGCGGUGAAAUGCAUAGAGAUCUGAAGGAAUACCAGUGGCGAAGGCGACUUCCUGGCCAAAAACUGACGCUGAGGUGCGAAAGCGUGGGUAGCAAACGGGAUUAGAUACCCUAGUAGUCC